rnacentral:rRNA from 1 species
UCGGAACGUGCCCAAUCGUGGGGGAUAACGUAGCGAAAGCUACGCUAAUACCGCAUACGAUCUACGGAUGAAAGCAGGGGAUCGCAAGACCUUGCGCGAAUGGAGCGGCCGAUGGCAGAUUAGGUAGUUGGUGGGGUAAAAGCUCACCAAGCCUUCGAUCUGUAGCUGGUCUGAGAGGACGACCAGCCACACUGGGACUGAGACACGGCCCAG